rnacentral:rRNA from 1 species
GCAGUCGAACGGUGAUAGCAAUAUCAUAGUGGCGCACGGGUGCGUAACACGUAUGCAACCUACCUAUUAUUGGGGGAUAGCCUUUGGAAACGGAGAUUAAUACCGCAUAAUACGAUUGACUGGCAUCGGUUGAUUGUUAAAGCUUUGGCGAUAAUAGAUGGGCAUGCGUCCAAUUAGUUAGUUGGUUAGGUAACGGCUGACCAAGACGAUGAUUGGUAGGGGAUCUGAGAGGAUAAUCCCCCACACUGGCACUGAGAUACGGGCCAGACUCCUACGGGAGGCAGCAGUAGGGAAUAUUGGGCAAUGGGCGGAAGCCUGACCCAGCCAUGCCGCGUGCAGGAAGAAGGCGUUAUGCGUUGUAAACUGCUUUUUUAUAGGAAGAAGGAUCCCUUGCGAGGGAAGGUGACGGUACUAUAAGAAUAAGCACCGGCUAACUCCGUGCCAGCAGCCGCGGUAAUACGGAGGGUGCAAGCGUUGUCCGGAUUUAUUGGGUUUAAAGGGUGCGUAGGCGGUUUAUUAAGUCAGUGGUGAAAGACGGUCGCUCAACGAUUGCAGUGCCAUUGAUACUGGUAGACUUGAGUGAGAUUGAGGUAGCUGGAAUGGAUAGUGUAGCGGUGAAAUGCAUAGAUAUUAUCCAGAACACCGAUUGCGAAGGCAGGUUACUAAGUCUUAACUGACGCUGAG